CCCGCCGGGGAAGGAAGGGUCGGCGCGUGCGCACUGACGGGCGGCUCCCGGCGCCGUGAGCGGGUGCUGAGAGUCCGGGAUAAGGAGGCCGCGCCGUCCCCUCUCUAAAUGCCCCGGCCCAGGGCGGCAGGCCCGGCUGAAGGCGACCCCGGCCGAGAAAGGACCCCUACCCUCCCGCCUCCCGGCUCCGGGCUCCCGCCUUGUCCUCCGCUCUCGCCGGCCCCAGGGGAGGCGCUGCGCGGACCGGGCGUGAAGCGUCCCGGAGCCCUGGAGGCCUGGCUGGGCGGAGGGUUGGGCGCCAGGGAGUUCAGAGCUCUCUCGUUCAGGGACUCGAGAAUGUCACGCGUGGGAUCGCUUUGCAACCCACGCCCGCGUCCCAGCCCCGGGUCUCCCUCACCCCAGCACCCUCCCCUCAGGUGCCUGACCGAGCCCAGGUCGCCCCUGGCCUCCCCCUGGCCAGACUUCAGAAAGCACUAGGCACUGCCUCCUCUCCACCUGUCUCUCUGACCCCAGACGCAGUGGGAGGGAGCGGAGGUGGUGGGGCGCUGGGAUGGGACGCUGGGGGCGGGCACACGGCCCACCGCCUCCCUGAGAGGCAGCCGAGAACAGUGGGGAGCUGAGGGUGAUCCCUUGAUGGGGGAUCGGGAGGUGGACCUCACCACCAAGCUGCCCCUGGCCUUCUUCCCGCCCCCCCAAGACGGAGUUUCGCUCUUGUUACCCAGGCUGGAGUGCAAUGGCGCAAUCUCUGCUCACUGCAACCUCCGCCUCCUGGGCUCAGGCAAUUCUCCUGUCUCAGCCUCUUGAGCAGCUGGAAUUACAGGCAGCGCCACCAUGCCCAGCUAAUUUUUUGUAUUUUUAGUAGAGACGGGGUUUCACCAUGUUGACCAGGAUGGUCUCGAUCUUUUGACCUCAUGAUCCACCCGCCUCGGCCUCCCAAAGUGCUGGGAUUACAGGCUUGAGCCACCACGCCCGACCGCCCGUGGCCUUCUUCACCCCAAUCCUGACUGCCCCUCGGAGACAACCACAGGUCAGCAAGGUGGCCGAACACUGAGGGUCAUCCCGCGGUGGCUGUGGGCAGAGGACAGGUGGCGUCCAUGCUCAGCCCCGACUCUGCCCCUCCGGGACACCUUAGCAGGUCUGAGACACUGCUGCAGGCCCUGGGGCAGAAGCCAGGAGGAGUGUCCACGCGGCCUCAGCCCAUGGAAUCCAGCCUGCUUCCACGCCUGCCGCCACCAGCUCCACCUUCAGAAAACAUCUCAGCGUCAAGCCUCCUUCCUGUGCCUCCUCUCAGGCCCCUGCCGUUCCCAUGCAGGGCAGGCCGAGCUGCUAUUACAGCAUGGAAAGUUAUGUAAGGGAAGCCAUGCUGGCCGCAGAUACAGGCACCAGCAGGUCCAGUUGUGUGUACACUCACGGCUGUGGCCCACGGCAGAUCAAGGCCUGCCCCUGCCUCAUCUGUCCCUCAGUAACAAUGAGUGUGAAGAGAAGAUACCUGUGAGUCCCUGCAGGUAGGAAGGCUGCAGCAUGAGGCUCAGCUCAGAGGCCUCUGCUCAGGAGCGCAGCUGAGUCACACCCCAGGGAAGGUACCUGGGACAGGUGUGGCCAGCACGUAUUGCCAAGACCCCACCAUGGCCCUUACCCCACCCACCCACAUCUGUGGCCUUCUGGUAAGCAGGACUCAGGCUGCCCAGGCCUCUAGCCGUAGACCUGAUGGCCUUAGCCAGCGGGAACGGCACAAGCAGCUAAGUUGGUGGUAGAUGGUACCUGUAACCUUCUCAACCCUGAGACUGUCCUCUGAGGCCAGGAGCCGCCCUUCUGCUGUGGGUCAGACCUCAGGAGGGCUUCAUCUGGCAGAACAACGGGGACCACCCAGCGUCUUGGGCAGCGGGGGACACUCUGCUUUAGGGUCCCAAGAAAACAUCAUCCCCAACCCAGUUGCUACCUCCUGCCGCCGCCUCCUCCGGCACCCAGGGUCGGACCAGAAAGCCUUGGCUACCUCUGACCAGCAGGCACUGUCUGGCCAGGGCUUGAAGGAGAGAGAAACCCAGCCUGGAGGGUGCAAACCCAAAAGCAUCUGAGGCAGACUUCAGGCCUGUGCUGAUGUGAAUGCUGGUCAGCUUUUCCUGAAAUUCCAAAAGAGAAGAGGCAUGAGGCAUGACCCACAACACCUUCCCAUCACAGCCUGGACAAGUUUAACAGACCAAGUUUCGCUGUUGUUACCCAGACUGUAGUGCAAUGGUGCAAUCUCGGCUCACCGCAACCUCCGCCUCCUGGGUUCAAGCAAUUCUCCUGCCUCAGCCUCCCCAGUAGCUGGGACUACAGGCGUGCACCACCAUGCGCAGCUAAUUUUUGUAUUUUCAGUAGAGAUGGGUUUCACCUUGUUGACCAGGAUUGUCUCAAUCUCUUGACCUCGUGAUCCACCUGCCUCGGACUCCCAAAGUGCUGGGAUUAUAGGCAUGAGCCACCGCGCCCAGCCAGAAUUUCAUUUUUUAUUUACAUUCACCCUCUUCUGGCCAAGAUGUGCCAAAGCCAACAUCAAUGGCUACCACAUCUUUACUGUGUCCCACAGGAUUGCUGGGCUAGUGUGGCUGCCAGCCCUGGAUCAAUCCUGUCUCUUCGUGGGACUCCCUAUGACCCAGGAACUUAGAGUCAAAAGAUUUACAGCCAAUUAAAUUUUCUAGGCCAGAUAGGAAUGGACAUGGACCGGCAUUCAUUACCCUUUAAAACAAUUUUUUUUUUUUUGAGAUGGAGUCUCAUUCUAUCGCCUAGGCUUGAGUGCAAUAGCAUGAUCUUGGCUCCCUGAAACCUCUGCCUCCCAGGUUCAAGUGAGUCUGCUGCCUCAGACUCUUGAGCAGCUGGAACUACAGGCAUGCUUCACCAUGCCUGGAUAAUUUUUGUAUUUUUGUAGACAGGGUUUCACCUUGUUGGCCAGGCUGGUCUUGAACUCCUGACCUCAAGUGAUCUACCCUUCUCAGCCUUCCAAAGUGCUGGGGGAUAACAGGCGUGAGCCACCAUGACCAAUCUAUCAUGUAACAAUUUUAUAAAUUCCUUUUUUACUAAACUUGCACAGACCAUUUAUGACAUGCUUGAACUUUCUACUUUGUCCUGAACAUCUCUCUUAACCAGUAAUUUAUUUAUUUAUUUAUUUAUUUAUCUUUUUUGAGAUGGUGUCUUGCUCUAUGCCCAAGCUGGAGUGCAGUGGCUCAAUCUCAGCUCACCACAAUCUCUGCCUCCCGGGUUCAAAUGAUUCUCCUGCCCCAGCCCCCCGAGUAGCUGGGACUACAGGCAUGCACAACCAUACCCAACUAAUUGUUGUAUUUUUAAUAGAAACAGGGUUUCACUAUGUUGGCCAGGCUGGUCUCAAGCCCCUGACCUCAUGAUCCUCCCACCUUGGCCUCCCAACAUGUUGGGAUUACAGGAGUGAAUCACCACACCCAGCCUAGUCAUUUAUUUUAGGACAAAAAUUCGCCAUGCAAGAUUCUUUCUCAGAUAAAAGUAUUUUUCUUGUAACGUUUCUUAACAAAAAUACUUCUUUAUAUCUAUAACUUCUCUUGGUCUCUCUCUUAUUUCCUUGUUCUAGGCGCCACCAUGCUCGGAUAAUUUUUGUGUUUUUGUAGAGACAGGGUUUCACCAUGUUGGCCAGGCUGGUUUUGAACUCCUGACCUCAGGUGAUCCACCUGCCUUGGCCUCCCAAAGUGCUGGGAUUACAGGCGUGAGCCACUUCGCCCAGCCAGCAACUCUAUAGUUCUGGAGUUGCAGGCUGACCUUUGGGCUCUGAAUGCUUCCUGGAUGGAAUUUGCCCAUCAGUUUAAAAUAUGUCAGAAAGACCAUAAUAUGGAACCAGCCAGGCCCUAAGAAACCUGGCAUGCUCUCAAAAUUUUCAGUUUUAUACAAACACUUGCCAGUAGCAGCACCAUAAAACCAGCAAGGUGCCCGAAAGGGGGCCAUUCUCUUGUCUUUCCUGAGUCUUAGAUGAUUUAUUUCCCACUUUUUUUUUUCCUCAG